GACGAACGCUGGCGGCGUGCUUAACACAUGCAAGUCGAACGGAAAGGCGCCUUUCGGGGUACUCGAGUGGCGAACGGGGGAGUAACACGUGAGUAACCUGCCCUUGACUUCAGGACAACUUCAAGAAACUGGGGCUAAUACCGGAUAGGAAUCCUUGCUGCAUGGUGGGGGUUGGAAAGUUUCGGCGGGUUUGGAUGGACUCGCGGCUUAUCAGCUUGUUGGUGGGGUUGUGGCUUAACGAGGCUUUGACGGGUAGCAGGCCUGAGGGGGCGACCGGCCACAUUGGGACUGAGAUGAGGCACAGAUUCCUACGGGACGCAGCAGAGCGGAAUAUUGAACAAUGGGCGGAAGGCUGAUGCAGAAGGGCCGCGGGCGGUAUGACGGCCUUAGGGUUGUAAACCGCAUUCAGCAGGGGCGAAGCUUGUGGUGACGGUACCUGAAGAAGAAGCACCGGCUAACUACGUG
rnacentral:rRNA from 1 species